GCUCCGGUGGCCUAGUGGUUAGAGCAUCCGCCUCGGAUGCGGGAGGUCAUGGGUUCGAUCCCCGGUCGAGUCA